rnacentral:misc_RNA from 1 species
AUUAUCAUUCUAUAGAGUUUUCUUUAGAGUGGAUUUGGGUGCUGCCAUUAGGCUCGCCUUAAAUGUCUUAGUUGGGACCUGUAUUGGGUAUUAGAACGUAAUAAGUUUCGUUCGAAUCGCAAUCCAGCCUGCUUCUAAUCCUAUUAUCUUUUUAAG